rnacentral:rRNA from 1 species
UACGGGGGGAGCAAGCGUUGUCCGGAAUCAUUGGGCGUAAAGCGCGCGUAGGCGGCCCUGUAAGUCCGUUGUGAAAGUCAAAGGCUCAACCUUUGAAAGCCGAUGGAUACUGCAGGGCUAGAGUCCGGAAGAGGCGAGUGGAAUUCCUGGUGUAGCGGUGGAAUGCGCAGAUAUCAGGAGGAACACCAAUAGCGAAGGCAGCUCGCUGGGACGGUACUGACGCUAAGGCGCGAAAGCGUGGGGAGCGAACGAGGA